rnacentral:rRNA from 1 species
AUUGAACGCUGGCGGCAGGCCUAACACAUGCAAGUCGAGCGGAUGAAGGGAGCUUGCUCCUGGAUUCAGCGGCGGACGGGUGAGUAAUGCCUAGGAAUCUGCCUGGUAGUGGGGGAUAACGUCCGGAAACGGGCGCUAAUACCGCAUACGUCCUGAGGGAGAAAGUGGGGGAUCUUCGGACCUCACGCUAUCAGAUGAGCCUAGGUCGGAUUAGCUAGUUGGUGGGGUAAAGGCCUACCAAGGCGACGAUCCGUAACUGGUCUGAGAGGAUGAUCAGUCAAACUGGAACGGAGACACGGUACAGACUGGAGGGGGAAGUGGGAGGGGAGAAUAGAGGAUGAGGGGAGAAAUCCUGCUCCAGCCUUGCUGGGUGGGGGAAUAGGGUCGUAUGAUUGUAAAGAAGUUAGAGUGGGGAGGAAGGCAAUUAGGUUAAUGCCUGGCUUUUUAGAGGUUACCAACAGAAUAAGAACCGGCUACCUUCGUGCAAGCAGCGGGGGUAAGGAAGAGCAAACGUCUUAAC